rnacentral:rRNA from 1 species
GACAGAGGAUGCAAGCGUUAUCCGGAAUGAUUGGGCGUAAGCGUCUGUAGGUGGCUUUUAAGUCCGCCGUCAAAUCCCAGGGCUCAACCCUGGACAGGCGGUGGAAACUACCAAGCUGGAGUACGGUAGGGGCAGAGGGAAUUUCCGGUGGAGCGGUGAAAUGCGCAGAUAUCAGGAGGAACACCGGUGGCGAAGGCACCACUCUGGGCCGAAACUGACGCUGAGGAGCGAAAGCGUGGGUAGCAAACAGG